GGACUACUAGGGUUUCUAAUCCUGUUUGCUCCCCACGCUCUCGCGCCUCAGCGUCAAUCUUCGUCCAGGCGGUCGCCUUCGCCACCGGUGUUCCUCCCAAUAUCUACGAAUUUCACCUCUACACUGGGAAUUCCACCACCCUCUCCGAGAUUCGAGUCAAGUAGUUUCGGAUGCACUUCCAAGGUUGAGCCCUGGGCUUUCACAUUCGACUUACUUGACCGCCUACGCGCCCUUUACGCCCAAUGAUUCCGAACAACGCUUGCACCCUCUGUAUUACCGCGGCUGCUGGCAC
rnacentral:rRNA from 1 species